UAUCGCUUAAAUUUCAUUCGUCGUCACUUUGAUGAAUGCUGGCAUAAGUCCAGUCGUUAUUAGCCUCGUUCUCCAUGCGAUCGUUUUCUGGCAAGCCGCAAUGGUGUACAGGCUCUUGUUCUUCGUCCGCAUCAUUUUCCUCGUUCAUCGCUUCGUAAUGGGUCGGCUGCCUUGGAGGACUGUAGUGCUCUUUCUCUUGCAAAUAGUCCUCCAGAUAAGAACCAAAAAGUUUUGAACUGUCUCUGCCAUGUUGCGAAAGAAAUGUGAGGGACGCUUGCCGUAUGUUCACAGGAAUAUCAUGAUUAUAGUGCAAUAAAUUAAGGCAACAAUACCAGUAUAAAGUACUGCAGUUCCAAUAAAAGCCGUUGCCCCGAGACACUUCGGCAAAGCUAUGACUUUCGGCGCGCCAAGGCAAUGUUUCAGGAGGUGCCGUCUGCUCGCAUGCAAAGCGAUCGACAGAAAAUGAAAAAACUGGAUUACAGGCCGAGUUAUUUGGAGUUAAAUGGAUUACUCUUGGCUUACCGAGCUUAAUCCUAAAAAGAACAAAGGUCAAUAACAGUUGAACGCCGUUGCGCCGGCAAAUAUUGUUAUUUUGGUGGAAUCGGAAGGCCUCGGAAUGGCGCACUCGUUCUGUCAAGCUUCUACAGACCGAAGAUAAUAUUUUCAUCCUUUAUGUUGUAAAGUUGUUGCAGGAAGACUUGUCGUAUCUCAGUGAAUGGCUUACCGGCAAACAGUUAAGUCUUAACGCUGCAAAGUCUGUCCACGUUCAGUUCUCGAAACAGAAAGUUUCAACUUGCGAAUAUCAGUACAGCAUCAGCAGUGCUCCCAUCCCGCAGUGUGAUCACGUUAAGCAUCUAGGAAUAUUUGUUGAUCGUAAACUUGACUUCAAGAUCAACAGUGAAAAUGUAGCAAAAAGUGUGAUCGAAGAAUUAGCUGCAUAAAUCACGUUUUCCGAUACACCGAUUACGGCGCUCGAAUACGACUUUUCGAGUCACUUGUCCUUUCCGUAAUCGAUUACUGUUGUUCUGUUAUACGUCCUUCACUAAAAAGUCGACAAAUGAAAUGGAACGUUGCCAAAGGAGGUUCACCAAAACUCUACGACUCGGCAACAAUCUCUUGAAUUACAGUGAACGCCUGAAAGAACUUAAGUGGGAUGAUCUUCGUACCCGUCGUAUGAAAAAAGCCUUGUUGUUCAUAUAUAAAUUAGUAUUUCGGGUGGUUCCGAUGGGUGAAAUGGUUGUUUUGCCACUUCGAUUCUCGGCUGCUGUGCUUGAGUCUGUUGCAGGUAACACCAGGACAUCAGAUCGUCUUAUGAAACACCCGUGUCCUAUUAAACCGGCACCGACAACCAUCUGUGGACGAACGGUUAUCACCACC